UAGGGAAUCUUCCGCAAUGGACGAAAGUCUGACGGAGCAACGCCGCGUGAGUGAAGAAGGAUUUCGGUUCGUAAAACUCUGUUGUUAGGGAAGAAAAAAUGUAUAGUAACUAUAUACAAAAGAGACGGUACCUAACCAGAAAGCCACGGCUAACUACGUGCCAGCAGCCGCGGUAAUACGUAGGUGGCAAGCGUUGUCCGGAAUUAUUGGGCGUAAAGCGCGCGCAGGUGGUUUAGAAAGUCUGAUGUGAAAGCCCACGGCUCAACCGUGGAGGGUCAUUGGAAACUAAUAAACUUGAGUGCAGGAGAGAGAAGUGGAAUUCCUAGUGUAGCGGUGAAAUGCGUAGAGAUUAGGGGGAACACCGGUGGCGAAAGCGGCUUUUUGGCCUGCAACUGACACUGAGGCGCGAAAGCGUGGGGAGCGAACAGG
rnacentral:rRNA from 1 species